CGCCGUCGCCAUGGCAACCGGCACGCCUGUGCCCGCCGCACCGUCCCCUGCCCGCUGCGCCCCAGCCCGCCUCCCCGAUGGACCUCUCUCCGCAGGGGCCGAGCGCCCCUCCAAAGUGAACCCAGUGCCUGAUCCAACCCUGCACAGCCGGGCAGUGGCAAAAAGUGGAAGAACACUGUUCUAGACUUCUUGGGCAUUAGCCCUGCUGCUCCUACCCCAGCCUGCCUUCAAGGUUCUUGGCCCUCUGGGAGCAUCUGAGAAACUAUGGGUAUAGUUGUUCAGAGCACAGAAGGGAUCCCUGUCCGUCUUGAGGAGGCCCACCCCCACCUUGACAUUCAGGAGUUCUGACUUGGCCCAUUCUGGCCAAGCUCUUGGCCUGUCCCUUCCUCCGGGGUGUGUGGGGGGGAGCUGUGCCCCAUGCUGACCUGCCUCUAUCAGCUGUGGCCUAGGGAGUCUUUUCACAGAAAACCCCACUAUCCUGGAAACUGAUUUCCAUCUGAAAAGCUGGGAACCAGGAGGUGGCUUCUGGGCAGUGAGAUUCCGAGGAGCUUUGGUGCUGAAGCAUUGAUGUGAACCCCUGCUUGGAGAAGGGCUAGAGAAAGCAGGGGAGGACUUAGAGGGGGGGAUCUUCUCACAAUCAAACUUUCUGGAGGGCAGUGACGGAGGUCAAACGGGACCCUACCAUGACUGAAGGACUUCCUUUCUCCUUGGAGGUUUAAGACGCUGGUCACAGGCCUUUGCUGGGUAUGGCUGGAAGGUACAUGAACUCUGUCUCUUCUCAGCUGGGUCAGAGGUGCAUUUUGAGAUGCCCGAGAGUUGGCAGGAGCCUGAGAGAGGGUUGGCAUGAAGCCACAGAGCGCCCUGUGGGGAAGCUCCCCGCAGGUGGGAAAGCCAAGCAUCUCCCACAGGAGACCCAGUCUCUCUCUUCCGGGCUGGAAAUGGAAAUGCACUUGGGCCUGUGGAGCGAGGAAGGCCACUGGCAUAGCCCUCAUUUUGGAAAGGCUCAGAUUCACGGGGAAGGGGAAGGGGGUUCUGCCUGGUGGCAAUAUGGGGGUCCCUGGGAAGCAAACCCCAGCACACAGCUGGCGUUUUUAGCAUCUACUUAGUGGUAGUGGGGGGAGUUCAGGGAGGGGGGGCCUGUUUCCUGGAGGGUGAGGUCCGGAGGUGCAGAGAGGCUGGGUUGGAGGUGGGGCCCCUCCCUCUCUCCUGCCAGCCCCUGAGGAGCCCUUCCUUUAGAAUGCUUUCAAAUGCUUAUUAGUGAGCUCUCCCCAAGGAAGGAGGCCGGAGUUGUUAUCUGCAUUUGUAAAUGACAAGGGAGGACUCAAAGGACUGACUCACUUCCAGGGCAGGCACAGUUAGGGCAACACAGCCCUAGAGGAGAGGCCAAAAUGAGGGCUCAGCGGAAGAGCUCCCAAACGCCAGGGCCCUGCAGGGGCCCCAGAAAGAACCCAGAGCAGGAGCCAGGAAACCUGCCCCUUUGUCUGGGCUCUGCCACCUGCUCGCUGCCCAUUCUUGGGCAGGUCACUCCACACGCCCUUUGGAACACUCUUUCUGGAACAGUUGACCUUGUCCUCUGGAGAGCCGAGGCCCUGGUUCUUUCCUUCCCCUCAAGUUUUGGAUCCUUUAACAGGAACACAGAGCUGGUCAUCUGCUUGGUCCUGGGAAGAUUCACGCCCUUUCAGGGAAAUCUGUUAUUAGGAAAUCCUACCCAAGCCUAGAGAUGAGGCUCUGGUUAACAGGCCGGCCCCUGAGAAUGUUCCACUGUGGUUUUGUUAAUUACUGUUCAUCGAGGGCAUAGGCCCUGAGAAGGAACAAGUGAACUUGUGGAUUUGUGCUACAUAAACUCCAGUUCCUCAAAAGCUCUGGGAACCAGAUUUACCGUCCCACUGAUUCCUCCAUCGAUCAAUAAAAUUGAAUAAAAU